CACUUGUCAGUCGCAGUCUGCCUGCGUGAGGCGGAGGAUGUUUUCACUUCCAAGUUUGCUCGCAGGACUCUGCAGCAUCAAUGAUCCACUGUUAUGCGCACUCUGUUCUGCGCGGAUGCGGUCAGAAACAGGCGAUUAUUUAAAGAAAAAGGCGUCCAAGUCGGUGGAGAAAUCACCGGAGAGCAUCGGAUAAGGAGAGGAUUUAGCCAUUAGCCAAGAAAAUGUUGGCAGAAGCUGACCUAAAGUCUGCAUUCAAGAGAAACUGCCUGCACAAAGGAUGAGGAGCAUCCAUCAGCCUGCAGAUGGAGACAUGGGUGGGUGGUUGGAAGGCUGGUAGAUGACUGAACUUGGAGACCCUGCACAGCUCAUCAUCAUUGCCAGGGGCUCUCGUCUUUUUCCUCCCCUCCCAUGGCUCGUACCUCCAUCCUGGAGUCCAGCAGAGUCAGUGAAGCCCAGGCGGGCAGCGAGUGAGUGGGCUGGGAAGGAUGGAUACCUCUGGAGCUACCGGCAUGCAGGAGAAAUCAAUAAUAAACACAGAAUCUUCACAGCUCUGAGUGGGGUUUCCUGUGUUUUCAAGUGUGUGGCUUAGGGGGGCAGCAAACCUCCAAAGGACAGGCCCUGCACGACUCCUUCAGCUGCAGCCCCUGUUCGUCUCUGGACCUCAGUCGCCAUCUCCGCUGGCUGUGUGUGGUUCUGCUGCAGGGGGUUUCUCCCCAAACGAUGCCAACAGUGCCGAAAGACUGCUGAGAGGGAUUUUCUUUUCCCUUUGUUUUUAUUUUUCCCCCCAGAUUGAGAGAUUGACCCCCCCCCCCCCCCCCCCCCCCUUCCUGCUGCCUCUGGCUGUUUGAAGCUAGCUUGGGAGUUCUGUUUUUGACUCACUUUACAUCAUCAACUCAUCUGCCGUUUAUCCUACCCCCCCCACCCUCAACUAGUUUUUACAUCUGAUAAACAGACACAACUAUCUUUAUUUUCUAUUCCGCUCUUUGCUUGAAGUGGAAGAAGCGGAGCAGAUGCUCCUCUCUGGACUGUGUCAAAGCCAUAAAUAAUGGCAGACAACACAUCACUUAUAGUUUUUUUUUUGCUCUCUAACAUUUUUAUUCAGUUUUGAACAUUGGAGGGAAAAAAAGGUGAAAAGCAUGGAGGGCAGAAGAUCACAGCACAGAAAGACCUUGUGAUGGAGAUGACAAA